GACGAACGCUGGCGGCGUGCCUAAUACAUGCAAGUCGAACGGUCUUUUCUAUGGAAGCUUGCUUCCACUGAGAAGAUAGUGGCGGACGGGUGAGUAACACGUGGGUAACCUGCCCAUAAGAGGGGGAUAACAUCCGGAAACGGGUGCUAAUACCGCAUAGUUUUCUUGAUCGCAUGAUUGAGAAAGGAAAGACGGCCUUUGUGCUGUCGCUUAUGGAUGGACCCGCGGCGUAUUAGUUAGUUGGUGAGGUAAUGGCUCACCAAGACGAUGAUACGUAGCCGACCUGAGAGGGUGAUCGGCCACAUUGGGACUGAGACACGGCCCAAACUCCUACGGGAGGCAGCAGUAGGGAAUCUUCCGCAAUGGACGAAAGUCUGACGGAGCAACGCCGCGUGAGUGAAGAAGGUUUUCGGAUCGUAAAACUCUGUUGUCAGAGAAGAACAAGUUGGAGAGUAACUGCUCCAGCCUUGACGGUAUCUGACCAGAAAGCCACGGCUAACU
rnacentral:rRNA from 1 species